GUUCCCGCUGCCGCCGCGCUCCGCGCCGUCUGCCCCCUCCCCAUUCAGGCUGAACACGCGGCAAAAAAAUCACUGCCCCUCUUGUGAGCUGUCUCACCUCUCUGUGUAACUGAAAGGCUAACGCAAGUGCCUUUUCUGGCAUUCGGGACAAUAGCAAUGAAAAGACAAGCCAGGUUCCUGCUCUCAGAAAAGUUCAACUGAGAAGACAAAAACAAGUGGAAUAUAUAUACGUAUAUAUAUGUGUGUGUGUGUAUAUAUAUAAAUAAUUGAUCCUUGAACAGUGCAGGGUGUAGAUGCUCUGACCUACCUACACAGUUGGAAAUCUGCAUGUAAAUUUCAACUUCCUAAAAACAAAACUGCUGACAGUCUACUGUUGAUCAGAAGCUUUACCAGU